rnacentral:rRNA from 1 species
CCUACGGGAGGCAGCAGUGGGGAAUAUUGCACAAUGGGGGAAACCCUGAUGCAGCGACGCCGCGUGAGUGAAGAAGUACUUCGGUAUGUAAAGCUCUAUCAGUCGGGAAGAGAAUGACGGUACCUGACUAAUAAGCCACGGCUAACUACGUGCGAGCAGCCGCGGUAAUACGCAGGGGGCAAGCGUUAUCCGGAUUUACUGGGCGUAAAGGGAGCGUAGACGGCUGGCCGAGUCUGAAGUGAAAGCCCGGGGCUUAACCCCGGAACGGCUUGGGAAACUGGCCGGCUUGAGUGCUGGAGAGGGAGGCGGAAGUCCUGGUGUAGCGGUGAAAUGCGUAGAUAUCAGGAGGAACACCGGUGGCGAAGGCGGCCUGCUGGACAGUAACUGACGUUGAGGCUCGAAAGCGUGGGGAGCAAACAGGAUUAGAUACCCGAGUAGUC